GCGUCAGUGGUGUAACGGAUAGAGCAUGCGCUCCCGGAAAGUGUGGUACGGGUUCUAGUCCCGCCUGACGCA